rnacentral:rRNA from 1 species
AUGGAGCAUAGUGGACUGGAGAGUAUGCAUGCUGGAAGAGAGAAAGCAUCAAAUUUACCAUGCGCAAGUUUGGAGAACAUCAUGGAAGAUUCCUCUUAUGAGCGAAUAAACAGCCAGGGUGUAUCUCGGCAUGUUUACAAGGUAAUUACAGGGUCCUGCGAGGCACUUGAUGUCCAUCCACUCGAACUCCGCUUUCCUUUGGAUUACAACACGUUAAUCCUGUGCCCACUUCACCUAACAAAUAACACAGAUGAACAAGUGGCAUUUAAACUUAUGCCAAAGAGAGGGAUAUAUUCAUGCUUCCGUAAUAUUCCACUGUAUGGUGUUGUGCCGCAGCGGUCUAGUUACACUCUCAUUGUGAUAAUGACACCGCCGGCUAAGCGGUCAGAAGAUACAGAUUUUGAUCUGAUCCUGCAGAGUAUUAAAUUUGGGGAGGGUAUCAUCCAAGGCCAAUGUAAUGACCGAUUUUUUGAGGCAGCCAAAGAGGUGGGCACAGGGAUGCAUGAGGUGACAUUAAAAGCUGUUUCUGCUCCACAAGGAGAGACAAUAUAUAAGCACACCAUCCCACCUGUAAUGAAGGUCAUAUCUGUAGAAAGGGCUCGUCAGGAGCUGUAUUCCAUAGAUGCAAAUCCGGAAAAAUCAUGGAUUAUAAUAGGUCAUUCCGGUGGAUAUGUUCGUAUAUGGGACUAUGUCACACAGAGAUGGAGGGGUUCAAUAGAAAUCUGUAGGGGACCAGUUAACUGCAUUAAAUUUAUUGCUCGAAAGCAAUGGUUUGUGGCUGGGUCCUCUGAUGGUAUCCAUGUACAAGAGGAAGCAAUAAAAAAGAAGAAAAUCCAGAGAUUCAGAGCUCGUGUUAGCUCUGUCACAUCACUGGCCGUUCAUCCAACCAAGCCGUAUGUGGUUUCAUCAUCCUAUGGCGGACUGAUAAAGCUUUGGGACUGGGACAAGGGAUGGGAAUGCAUAACAACAUUUGAAGGGGAACACUCUGAUGUUGUAUGUCAACUCGCAUUUAAUCCAAAUGACACGAACAGUUUCGCUAGUGUGUCGAACGAUCGCACAAUAAAGGUUUGGGGUCUUGAUUCACCCAAAUCCCAUUACACUCUGUCUGGCCAUUCAGAUAAUGUGAAAUGCCUGGAUUUCUUCACACGUGAUGAUGGGCAAUACUUGAUUACUGGUUCUGUUGAUAAUACUGCCAAGAUAUGGGACUUGCAGAAAAAGACGUGCAUUCUUACACUGGAAGUUUUUAGGUCUCCAGUCAUUUAUGUCUUCUCCCAUCCCAAUCUUCCAGUUCUAAUUACAGGUACAAGAAAUGGCAUCAUUUAUUUGUGGAGCUCCACCGAUUUCAGGCUUAGGGGAAUUCUCAACAUCUUACGUGGGGCAGAUGUUAUGGGUCUUGCAUGCUUGAUGGAGUCAAGGAGGGUCGUGAUUGGACAAAGCCACGCCAUAUCUAUAGUGGAUAUUGACGAUGAAGAAACAAUUGGUGGCAAGGGCGACAACGAAAGUUCCAUAUGA